rnacentral:lncRNA from 1 species
GUACGGGAGCUACUGCUUUGCAUGGGGAUGCUGUCCUCUUGAGGCUGCAACCUGCUGUGAAGAUCAUUACAGCUGCUGUCCUCAUGACUACCCCAUCUGCAAUGUUCAGGAAGGAACCUGCCUAAUGGUAAUCCCUACGAUGAAAAAUUACUUUCAUUAGUCUGCUCAGCUGCCAUCAUACAGUCUUUGUUACAUAAAAUUUAAGGGUGUAGGAAAGCAUCCAUAAUUGAGAUAGAGAUAAAGAUAAAUGAUAGAUUAGUCCUAUAUGGCUAAAGGAUAAAGAAAUCAGGUCUUAUACAUUGAAUUUGACCCACAAACUUAAACCUUCCGGUUUUUUGGCUUGUGUUGGUGUCCAACCAUCAUGUAUGAUGACAUCAGCCAGUUUUGUCCCGAACAUAAUUAAUUGAAUUUUCAACGUAGGAUUUGUGUUGGGUGUUCCAAAAACUGAACAGAGAAAAAUAAUAUUGAAACAAAUAAGCGGGGUUAGAUUACCCAUUUGAGCUAUAUGAGCCAGAUAAUCCUGGUAAGUCUCAGUCUGAUUGAGUUGCACUGUGUUUGAGAAAGCAACAAAGGAAAUUGACUUAUUGAUUCUUUUUUAUGGUUAAAACACACAUGAAAGAGAGAGAUGAUUGCUAGUGUUUCAGUUUGCUCUAUCUCUAUAUGAAUUGUUCUGGUUUCGAUGUCUUAUUCCCUAACUUGUCCAUCUGAUUUGAUUAACAGAGCAAGAACAGUCCACUUAGAGUGAAGGCUUCCAAACGCACUCCAGCAAUUCCCUACUGGGCUCACUCUAUCUCGGAGGGCAAGAGGAGCAGCGCAUAAGCCACAUUGAGCAGGUGAGGAGCGAGAAGCACAAGAUGAUUAUCAAUUAUGGAUGUCCUUGCCUUCAAUGUGGACUUGAGAUGCAGCAAUUUGCUGCAAUGCUUAUUGAAGAAGACUAGAAGCUCUUGUACAUGUCUAUAAGUCCAGGUGUUGGACAACUGAAAUGAUGAUUUUACAUUACUUCACUUCCAUUAUCAUGUAAAUUAACUGAAAUUGGAUUUCCAGUAAUUUGCCUAUAAACUCUCUCCAUGGAUUUUAUGUUGGUACUGAUGCUACUGGCAAAUGGCAUCAGCAAACUUGUUUGUAUCAUUCCAAGUACUUGAGAGUUGCUGCUUCUACCCUUUUUGGCACCAUGGUUGACGUGGAGGUGUCGUAAGUCGAGAUUGCUGAACCCUGUUCACCUAAUUCAGCAGUCGAGGCGGAAUCUGCCAUAUGCCAUCAUCGACUGCUUGCUUUAUUGCUUUUGGUUUGUUUGGCUGUGAUUUUUCCACGUCACUCUGCCUCUCUGUAUCUUUAUUUAUUACAUUGCCAUUAUUUUUUACAAAGAUGAAUUACUAAAUAAAUAAGUAUAUCCUCUCUUCUCACACACACACACAUAUAUAUAUAUAUAAUAAAUAAAUAAAUAAAAAUUAUAAAUAUGUACCGACGUCAAUCUUCUCACACUCCAUUCAUUCAAUAUAACAUGCCUUGGAGUGGCCAAUCUUGAAUUAGAUAUCCUCCUCACCUCCUUUCCGUCCUUAUGGCUUCUUCUCUCAUCUUCCUUCUCUUGGCCGCGGCGGUGGUCGCCUCAGCUGUCCCCGACUUGUACAUGGUGACAAGCGGGGAGGGCCACAGCGAGCAGGUGUCCGGGCGGAGCGAGGAGGAGGUGGGUCUGCUCUACCUGGAGUGGGUGGCCAAGCACCGGCCGUCCCGCAACGCGCUUGCGGAAGAGGCGAGCCGGUUCGAGGUGUUCAAGGACAACCUCCGCUACAUCGACGCCCAUAACGCGGCGGCCGACCGCGGGGAGCACGCCUUCCGCCUCGGCCUCAACCGGUUCGCCGACCUGACCAACGAGGAGUACCGGGCCAAGUACCUAGGCGUCCGGGCCGCCGCGUCCCGCAGGAGGAGGGCCUCAUCGGAGGGCAGCAACCGGUACCGGCUGAGGGACGGCGAUGAUUUGCCUGAUUCAAUCGAUUGGAGGGAGAAGGGCGCUGUUGUCGGCGUUAAAGAUCAAGGCAGCUGCGGUGGGUGCUGAUAUUACCAUUUCUCCCUGCGUUGACUUCAAUUAGUUGCAAUUUCUGCUCUAUUUUUCUGUUUGGUUUCUGCUAAUAACACUUUAAAUCUGAUAUUAUUUUCAUUUAAUUACAUUUACAUGAAGAUAGAUCUUUUCCCCUUUUUUCCCCUCCUUGUGAAGUUAUGAUUUUUACCCUUUUCUUCUGUUUUGACUUUUGGUAAACGACAUGAUUUUGCUUACUAUGAUGUACCAAAGGUGUUGUAUUUUGGAUGAUCUGCGAAUAGAUCUGCUUUCAGAUUCUGUUUCAGCCCCCCUUCUUGUGUAAAUUUCGCUUACUCUACAAAAUUAUUAACUGCUAGUAUCACACUUAGUUCAUGAUUCAGGAUCUUAUCCUGUUAGAUCAAGUCACCAAUGAAUGAUUUUUUGGUUUCAAAGAUCUGAAUUGGCAUGCUGAUGAUAUCUAGAUCUGUUGGUGUCACAGGGAGCUGCUGGGCAUUUUCGACGAUUGCUGCUGUGGAAGGUAUCAACCAGAUCGUGACCGGCGACCUGAUCUCUCUGUCCGAGCAGGAAUUGGUGGACUGCGACACCUACUACAACCAGGGCUGCAACGGGGGGCUCAUGGAUUAUGCCUUUGAGUUCAUCAUCAACAAUGGUGGUAUCGACACCGAUGAGGACUACCCAUACAAGGCCCGAGAUGGAACUUGCGAUACUUACAGGGUGACCUAUUGAUUAGUCAUUUGAAACUAGCAACCCCCUUUUUUUCCUGUUGCUUUGUUGUUUGUGGGUGAUGUUCUAAUGAGGUUUGGUGCCCACCUUUGUCAUGUAGAAAAAUGCACAUGUUGUGGCAAUUGACGCAUAUGAGGAUGUUCCGGUUAACGAUGAGAAGUCUCUGCAAAAAGCAGUUGCUAACCAACCGGUUAGUGUUGCUAUUGAAGCUGGUGGCAGGACAUUCCAGCUUUAUGACACGGUAAAGUUGCCACAAGAUAAUGCAAUUUUAUAUUUCUACCAAUAUUCUUUGUUUAUAAAAUUAUGUCACGGCUUAAACUACAACUUGAUUUUCUUUGAACCGAUGUUCUAAUCCUUAUGGAAGCUUGCAGACUUUUAUACUUCCACAUUAUGGUGACCUAGGUUGAAAAUCUUUGAUCACUUCUAAUUGAAUAGAUUGUCAUUUGAUACAGCAACAACAAAUGUUUUAACAAUUUGGGACUGAUUAUAAAUAUCUUUUUUACUGAUUGAACUCCAUUCAACACAAUAUUUCUGGUUAAGUCAAGGACAUUCAAUUUUCCUUUAUUGUUUUUAGUAAAGAAAUUUUCAGUCUCUCUCUCUCUCUCCAAUUUUUUCUCGCACCACCAUUAAUCAACUCACCUCUUCUAACCAUACUAUCUACAGAUUUUUGUUGAAUAUUUUUAUAAUAUCUUAGAUGAUUUUUUCUUAUUUUAUAGUUUAUCGGAUUACAACCAAUUGUUCACAAAUAAAUAUCUGUUUAAUCUUUUCUUGUGGCUCUGCAUACCUAUCUUGCGUUUUCAUGUGAGCUAUACAAGCUUUUCAUAUAUAUUGAUUUUCAACUGUCCAAUACUUCAAUUCAUUAAGCCACAACAAUCUUUUAUACUCAAUCUCCCUCUCCAUCUUAACCAUCAAACUUAUGAAAAAUAUCUCCAUUAAUCCUUUUUACCAUGUUGAAUGAUAAAUUUAAAAAUAUUUAAAAUAAUUUUCAUGUAUGACCUUCUUAUCCAUCCAUCCUGACUUCAUCCUCACUUCUUCUCUUAAAUUAUCUAAAAUUAUAGUUCAUAUUCAAUCUUAGUAAAUUUUAAUCUAGAACCUUUAAUUUCUGAGAUUUGACUCGGUAAUUCAAGUUUAAAAUUUUAUUCCAGCUAAAAUUCCAUAUAUUAAAAUAAUAUCAUUAGCAAAUAGCAUAUAUGAUUAGUCAGUUUGCCUAUUAUAAGGACCAUAAUAUGUUUAUGUUGCAUCAGAAUUUAGAUUCCCUAAAUAUUUUUAUGAAUCUGUGGUUUUUUUCUCUAGACUGUUAUAAUUUCUAAUGUGUGGUUAAUUAAUAUGGAAGACACUGCAAAUAGACAAAUGCCACUAGAAAUAGAAAUUCUUAAUUAAACCCUUUCCAUGAUAAUACAAAUGCAUUAAGCGGCAUGGUUUGAGAAUUAUGAUCUAUUGUUUGUGAUAUGAAAUUUAGUUGGUUAGUAAUCUUCUUCUUGAAAUUCUGUGAAUGAUUUAGAUGAUACCAUCUGAGCAGUGGCACAGGUUCCAUUUGAUGAUGGAUUUGCUUUGUGAUAUGUGAUGUACAUAUAUCUCCAGUUUGCUGCCUAAUAUAUAUAUAUAUAUAUAUAUAUAUAUAUAUAUAUAUAUAUAUAUAUAUAUAUAUAUAUAUAAUGUCCACAAGUCUUUUUUUUUUCCAAGCUGCUACUUUCCUUCCUUCAAAUCUAUAGAUGUCUUUCAUGUUGAUGAGUUGAAAAAAUUAUUACUCCAAUUUUUUUUCAGGGAAUAUUCACCGGAUCUUGUGGGACUGCACUAGAUCAUGGUGUGACUGCCGUAGGCUAUGGCUCCAAGAAUGGCCAGGACUACUGGCUUGUGAAGAACUCAUGGGGUGAAGACUGGGGCGAGGCUGGAUACAUACGAAUGGAACGUAAUAUUGCAUCUGCCACUGGCAAGUGUGGUAUUGCAAUGGAGGCCUCAUACCCCAUUAAGAAGGGCCAGAACCCACCAAACCCUGGUCCAUCUCCACCUUCCCCUGUUAAGCCACCCACAGUCUGUGAUAACUACUACACCUGCCCAGAGAGUACCACAUG